UCCCUCAUAGCUCAGUUGGUAAAUCAUCUGCCUGCAAUGCAGGAGACCAGGGUUCGAUUCCUGGGUAGGGAA
rnacentral:tRNA from 1 species